GCCCACACCACACACACAACUCACAUAUUCACACACACAACACCUAAAACACACACUACACACGCCAUUUUCCAUUUAAGCUUGGACGGAGCUUUUGACCUCCGAUUUGAGCACCGAGACGAGCGCCGAUCAUCUUUUCGAUCAUGUAUCUAAGUAGGUCCUUUUGGGAAGUAACGACUUGAGGGAGAGAGUGACGUUACUCAUUGAUACAGAGACACAACGAGGUUGAGCUGAUGUGAUGAUGGUGCUGCAAUGAGCGGAGUCUCCAGGGUUGUUAAUAAAUAGUUAACCUGUCUAGAAUAUGUCUUCAUACAUAUGUCUAGCUACUUUCCGCUGCAAGAUGUUGUUGAU